rnacentral:rRNA from 1 species
UACGUAGGGGGCAAGCGUUGUCCGGAUUUAUUGGGCGUAAAGAGCGUGUAGGCGGCUUGGUAGGUCCGUUGUGAAAACUCGAGGCUCAACCUCGAGACGCCGAUGGAAACCACCUAGCUAGAGUCCGGAAGAGGAGAGUGGAAUUCCUGGUGUAGCGGUGAAAUGCGCAGAUAUCAGGAAGAACACCCGUGGCUAAGGCGGCUCUCUAGUACGGUACUGACGCUGAGACGCGAAAGCGUGGGGAGCGAACAGG